UCAAGACCCCGUGGCGAUUUGUUUACCGGAUUGCGGGCCACGUAAAACAAGCCGCUAAAGAGGUCAGGACGACGGGACU
rnacentral:ncRNA from 2 species